GACGAACGCUGGCGGCGUGCCUAAUACAUGCAAGUCGAACGCUGAAGGAGGAGCUUGCUUCUCUGGAUGAGUUGCGAACGGGUGAGUAACGCGUAGGUAACCUGCCUGGUAGCGGGGGAUAACUAUUGGAAACGAUAGCUAAUACCGCAUAAGAGUAGAUGUCGCAUGACAUUUGCUUAAAAGGUGCAAUUGCAUCACUACCAGAUGGACCUGCGUUGUAUUAGCUAGUUGGUGAGGUAACGGCUCACCAAGGCAACGAUACAUAGCCGACCUGAGAGGGUGAUCGGCCACACUGGGACUGAGACACGGCCCAGACUCCUACGGGAGGCAGCAGUAGGGAAUCUUCGGCAAUGGACAGAAGUCUGACCGAGCAACGCCGCGUGAGUGAAGAAGGUUUUCGGAUCGUAAAGCUCGGUUGUAAGAGAAGAACGAGUGUGAGAGUGGAAAGUUCACACUGUGACGGUAUCUUACCAGAAAGGGACGGCUAACUACGUG
rnacentral:rRNA from 1 species